rnacentral:ncRNA from 1 species
AAGGGAGAAACCGAAAACCCAUUAGAGUAGGUA